UGAUAGUACACUUCUUUGAAAGAUAAGUAUGACACCUCUGUUCAUUAUCCUGCUUAUGGCUACAGUUGCAAUUUGUCCAUCUUCUUCUUUAGUAAAGAGAGAUCAUCACACUUGCGAUAACAGGGGCAAAUCAUGUCUGAACGAUAGAGAAUGUUGUCCAGAUGAGAGGUGCGUAGUGAUUCUACCGAACAUACGUUGCAUAAGAGCACCCUGUGGAACUGCGUGUGUGAAACG